UCAUCUGUGAUGUUCUCUGAGCCACUUAUGAUGCAGGAGCUGUGAUAUAGAUAAAACCAGUACAAAGUGGUCAGCCCUGAAACCAUACAAACAAAAACCACCAAGUGGAUUCAGAAGAUUGCAUUCCUAUAUUUGUACAGAAUAUGCACGAUCAACUUCCAGAAUGGCUGCUAAAGGACGUCCUUCAGCAUCUGCAAUGGGAGACAGUGUCUCAGUCUCUAAGGGCCAGCGACUUCGCUCGGGCUGGAAAUAAUCAUAAUAAUUGGAACCAGCAGAAGGAAACAGCCGAUGCUGCCAGUUAGGUGAGAUGAAAUAAAUAUGCAACUCAAGUAGCAAUAAAGAUAAGCUCUGUGACAUCUUGCUGGAAUGAA